rnacentral:rRNA from 1 species
UAGGGAAUUUUCCACAAUGGGCGAAAGCCUGAUGGAGCAACGCCGCGUGCAGGAUGAAGGCCUUCGGGUUGUAAACUGCUUUUCUUUGUGACGAUUAUGACGGUAACAGAGGAAUAAGGACCUGCUAACUACGUGCCAGCAGCCGCGGUCAUACGUAGGGUCCAAGCGUUAUCCGGAAUUACUGGGCGUAAAGAGUUGCGUAGGUGGCAGAGUAAGUUGGUAGUGAAAGCGUACGGCUCAACCGUAUAUACAUUACCAAAACUGCUCAGCUAGAGGACGAGAGAGGUAAUUGGAAUUCCUAAUGUAGGGGUAAAAUCCGUUGAUAUUAGGAGGAACACCGAUGGCGUAGGCAGAUUACUGGCUCGUUCCUGACACUAAGGCACGAAAGCGUGGGUAGCAAACAGG